UCGAGCGGAUCUUCAUUAGCUUGCUUUUGAAGAUCAGCGGCGGACGGGUGAGUAACACGUGGGCAACCUGCCUGUAAGACUGGGAUAACUUCGGGAAACCGGAGCUAAUACCGGAUAAUCCUUUCCCUCUCAUGAGGGAAAGCUGAAAGACGGUUUCGGCUGUCACUUACAGAUGGGCCCGCGGCGCAUUAGCUAGUUGGUGAGGUAACGGCUCACCAAGGCAACGAUGCGUAGCCGACCUGAGAGGGUGAUCGGCCACACUGGGACUGAGACACGGCCCAGACUCCUACGGGAGGCAGCAGUAGGGAAUCUUCCGCAAUGGACGAAAGUCUGACGGAGCAACGCCGCGUGAACGAUGAAGGCCUUCGGGUCGUAAAGUUCUGUUGUCAGGGAAGAACAAGUAUCGGAGUAACUGCCGGUACCUUGACGGUACCUGACCAGAAAGCCACGGCUAACUACGUGCCAGCAGCCGCGGUAAUACGUAGGUGGCAAGCGUUGUCCGGAAUUAUUGGGCGUAAAGCGCGCGCAGGCGGUUCCUUAAGUCUGAUGUGAAAGCCCCCGGCUCAACCGGGGAGGGUCAUUGGAAACUGGGGAACUUGAGUGCAGAAGAGGAGAGCGGAAUUCCACGUGUAGCGGUGAAAUGCGUAGAGAUGUGGAGGAACACCAGUGGCGAAGGCGGCUCUCUGGUCUGUAACUGACGCUGAGGCGCGAAAGCGUGGGGAGCGAACAGGAUUAGAUACCCUGGUAGUCCACGCCGUAAACGAUGAGUGCUAAGUGUUAGAGGGUUUCCGCCCUUUAGUGCUGCAGCAAACGCAUUAAGCACUCCGCCUGGGGAGUACGGCCGCAAGGCUGAAACUCAAAGGAAUUGACGGGGGCCCGCACAAGCGGUGGAGCAUGUGGUUUAAUUCGAAGCAACGCGAAGAACCUUACCAGGUCUUGACAUCCUCUGAC
rnacentral:rRNA from 2 species